CCCGCUUAUUACUACCCCCCCACCCCAAUACACACACACUUGGCAGUAUCCUAACUUCUUCACUCUUGUCCACAUUUGUCUUGGCGCUCUGGGGAAGAAGGCUGGAGUGCAAUGGCGCGAUCUUGGCUCACUGCAACCUCCGCCUUCCUGGUUCAAGUGAUUCUCCUGCCUCAGCCUCCUGAGUAGCUGGGAUAACAGACAUGCAUCACCACGACCAGAUAAGGACACUGCAGCCCAGAGAAGAAACCUGCAAAGGCCGUGUUCACACACUCACAAGAGAUAUGGCUGUGAUUUGGAUCCAGAUGUGAUGGGCUGACAACAAAACUCCUGUGAUACCAUGAAGUCUUCGGGAGGCAGAAUUGAAGUGAACAUGAAGUUUAGCUUAGAGAAGAAAAGAAUAAAUACAUACAAAACAUUUGAUGGUGAAUAAACAGAAAAUGGUGUAUUCAACAGAAUUUGACUCAGCAAUAAAAAUGAACCAAACUAUGGAAAACAACACCCAACAACAGGAAGAAAUCUCAAAAUAAUUAUGUUCUGGAGGCCAGAAUUCUGAAAUUGAGGUGUCAGCAGCUGUUCCGUCUGAAGGGUCUAGAGAGAAUCCUUCACUGCUUCUUCCAGCUUCUGGUGGCUGCAGGCAAUCCUGGUGUUCCUUGGCUGGAAGGCACAUCACUCCAAACUCUGCCGCUGUCUUCACAUGGCCUUCUUCCUGUCUGUCUUCUCUUCUAAGGACUUAGGACCCACUCUAAUCCAGGAUGCUCUCAUCUCAAGAUCCUUAACUCGAUUACAGCUGCAAAGACCUUUUUUCCAAAUAAAGUCACCUUCACAGAUUCCAGGUGGACCUGUCUUUUGGGAGGCCACCAUACAAUCUACUGCCUCCCCCAAGCACCCUAUGUCCUUUUAUACCUUUGGCUCUGUUGUUUCCACAUUAAAAAUUUCUUUUUCAUUCUCUUUUCAAAAUACUGCCCAGAUUGUCUGUCCAGCUAGCAAAGCCUCUCCUAGUCAGAACACCCUGUAUUCG
rnacentral:lncRNA from 1 species